AUUCUGCCGGAAAUUGGAGUCAACGCAGGACUACCAGGUUGUGCCUGCAGGAAUUGGAGUCAACGCCGCAAGGCGUGGCAUACGGCUCAGUAACACGUAGUCAACAUGCCCAGGGGACGUGGAUAACCUCGGGAAACUGAGGAUAAACUGCGAUAGGCCAAGGUUUCUGGAAUGGACAAUGGCUGAAACCUAUAUGGCCCCUGGAUUGGACUGCGGCCGAUCAGGCUGUUGGUGGGGUAAUGGCCCACCAAACCAAUAACCGGUACGGGCUUUGAGAGAAGGAGCCCGGAGAUGGGCACUGAGACAAGGGCCCAGGCCCUAUGGGGCGCAGCAGGCGCGAAACCUCUGCAAUAGGCGAAAGCUUGACAGGGUUACUCUGAGUGAUGCCCGCUAAGGGCAUCUUUUGGCACCUCUAAAAAUGGUGCAGAAUAAGGGGUGGGCAAGUCUGGUGUCAGCCGCCGCGGUAAUACCAGCACCCCGAGUGGUCGGGACGAUUAUUGGGCCUAAAGCAUCCGUAGCUUGUUCUGCAAGUCCUCCGUUAAAUCCACCUGCUCAACAGAUGGGCUGCGGAGGAUACUACAGGGCUAGGAGGCGGGAGAGGCAAACGGUACUCAGUGGGUAGGGGUAAAAUCCACUGAUCCACUGAAGACCACCAGUGGCGAAGGCGGUUUGCCAGAACGCGCUCGACGGUGAGGGAUGAAAGCUGGGGGAGCAAACCGGAUUAGAUACCCGGGUAGUCCCAGCUGUAAACGAUGCAGACUCGGUGAUGGGUUGGCUUCGGGCCAACCCAGUGCCGCAGGGAAGCCGUUAAGUCUGCCGCCUGGGGAGUACGGUCGCAAGACUGAAACUUAAAGGAAUUGGCGGGGGAGCACCACAAGGGGUGAAGCCUGCGGUUCAAUUGGAGUCAACGCCGGAAAU
rnacentral:rRNA from 1 species